ACGGGUGGUUAGCCCGCCCAGCCGACCCGCUUUGAAUCAACUUCCUCAACCCGGUUCCAUUCGGGUGGAUCAAAUACAUCUCAAAGCUUCCCGAACCCGGGUUAUCCCGAUCCGAUGCAAACGCAAUCCACUCCCCAUCCGGUGACCAGUUACACAUUGUGUCGCUCCAUGGACCCUCUGUUAAUCGGUGCAACCCGUAUCCCUCUCCUCCCUCUGCAUCCAUUAUAUAUAAAUUCUUAUAACCCGUCCGAGUCGAACGAAAUACGAUCCAUUUACCAUCGGGUGAAACCGAAGGAAACGCAUUGUUCUUGCCAUUGGUGGUCAACCUUCUAACGGCGCUAACUCCGUCAACAUCAUCAACGUUGAUAGAGAUUAUAUCGACCUCCGAGCUUUCACUAGCAAAUUCGGGUCCGC
rnacentral:lncRNA from 1 species